rnacentral:rRNA from 1 species
CCUUCCAAUCCACGGGGCGGCAUCCAGCAAGCCUUUGUUUUCUAUAACAAAUCCACAUUUUGACCUCGGAUCAGGUAGGGAUACCCGCUGAACUUAAGCAUAUCAAUAAGCGGAGGAAAAGAAACCAACAGGGAUUGCCCUAGUAACGGCGAGUGAAGCGGCAACAGCUCAAAUUUGAAAUCUGGCUCUUUCAGAGUCCGAGUUGUAAUUUGCAGAGGGCGCUUUGGCUUUGGCAGCGGUCCAAGUUCCUUGGAACAGGACGUCACAGAGGGUGAGAAUCCCGUACGUGGUCGCUAGCUAUUGCCGUGUAAAGCCCCUUCGACGAGUCGAGUUGUUUGGGAAUGCAGCUCUAAAUGGGAGGUAAAUUUCUUCUAAAGCUAAAUAUUGGCCAGAGACCGAUAGCGCACAAGUAGAGUGAUCGAAAGAUGAAAAGCACUUUGGAAAGAGAGUCAAACAGCACGUGAAAUUGUUGAAAGGGAAGCGCUUGCAGCCAGACUUGCUUGCAGUUGCUCAUCCGGGCUUUUGCCCGGUGCACUCUUCUGCAGGCAGGCCAGCAUCAGUUUGGGCGGUGGGAUAAAGGUCUCUGUCAUGUACCUCUCUUCGGGGAGGCCUUAUAGGGGAGGCGACAUACCACCAGCCUAGACUGAGGUCCGCGCAUCUGCUAGGAUGCUGGCGUAAUGGCUGUAAGCGGCCCGUCUUGAAACACGGACCAAGGAGUCUAACAUCUAUGCGAGUGUUUGGGUGUCAAGCCCGAGCGCGUAAUGAAAGUGAACGGAGGUGGGAACCCGCAAGGGUGCACCAUCGACCGAUCCUGAAGUUUACGGAAGGAUUUGAGUAAGAGCAUGGCUGUUGGGACCCGAAAGAUGGUGAACUAUGCUUGAAUAGGGUGAAGCCAGAGGAAACUCUGGUGGAGGCUCGCAGCGGUUCUGACGUGCAAAUCGAUCGUCAAAUUUGGGCAUAGGGGCGAAAGACUAAUCGAACUAUCUAGUAGCUGGUUCCUGCCGAAGUUUCCCUCAGGAUAGCAGUAACGUAUUCAGUUUUAUGAGGUAAAGCGAAUGAUU